CUACGGACUUAAUUGGAUUGAGCCUUGGUAUGGAAACCUACCAAGUGAUAACUUUCAAAUUCAGAGAAACCCUGGAAUUAAAAAUGGGCAAUCCUGAGCCAAAUCCCGUUUUAUGAAAACAAACAAGGUUUCAGAAAGCGAGAAUAAAUAAAGGAUAGGUGCAGAGACUCAAUGGAAGCUGUUCUAACAAAUGGAGUUGGCUGCAUUGUGUUCGUAAAGGAAUCCUUCCAUCGAAACUUCCGAAAGGAUGAAAGAUAAACCUAUAUACAUAUGUAUACUUACUGAAAUACUAUCGCCAAACGAUUAAAAAUGAUUAAUGAUGACUCCAACCGGUUCUAUAAUUUUUUUCUAUCUAUUUAUAUGAAAAAUGAAAGAAUUUUUGUGAAUCGAUUCAAAAUCAAAAUUGAAAAAUGAAAUAAAUAUUCAUUGAUCAAAUCAUUCACUCCAUCAUAGUCUGAUAAAUCUUUUUUUUUAGAAUUGAUUAAUCGGAUAAGAAUAAAGAUAGAGUCCCAUUCUACAUGUCAAUAUCGACAACAAUGAAAUUUAUAGUAAGAGGAAAAUCCGUCGACUUUAGAAAUCGUGAGGGUUCAAGUCCCUCUAUCCCCAAAAAGACCUGGUUGCCUCCCUAAUUAUUUAUCUUCUCAUUUUAUUUUGUUAGUGACUCAAAAUUGGUUAUGGUUCGCAGUUAUUCUCACUCUACUAUUUCAUUCACAAACCGAUCUGAGCGGAAAUUUUUUUUCUUAUCACAUCAUAAGCCUUGUGUGUGAUAUAUAUGAUACGUGUACAAAUGCAAAUGAGCAUCUUUGAAUAAUGUAUUAAAUUAAAAUAAUUAACAAUCUAUAUCAUUAUUUGUAUUAUUUGUACUGUAUUGAAACUUACAAGGUUUUCUUUUUGAAGAUACAAGAAAUUCUACCAGGGCCUGGAUAAUACUUUGGAAUAUCUUUUCGUUUUUUAAUUGACAUAGACCCAAGUCCUAUAUUAAAAUAAAAUGAGGAUGAUGCGUCGUGAAUGGUCGGGAUAGCUCAGCUGGUAGAGCAGAGGACUGAAAAUCCUCGUGUCACCAGUUCAAAUCUGGUUCCUGGCACAUGAGUAAUUUGUAUGAGUAUAUAUUCGACAAAUUAAUUGAUAUGGGUCGACAUACAUAUUCAGUAUUCUAGUUAUAGAUCAUGAUACAUACUUAUCCAUCUAAGUGUCGGAGCUAUACCCCUUACUAAUUUAAUUAAG
rnacentral:ncRNA from 1 species